GAUGAAGAACGCAGCGAAAUGCGAUAAGUAGUGUGAAUUGCAGAAUUCAGUGAAUCAUCGAAUCUUUGAACGCACAUUGCGCCCCUUGGUAUCCCGAGGGGCAUGCCUGUUCGAGCGUCAUUUCACCACUCAAGCCUGGCUUGGUGUUGGGCGACGUCCUCUUUGGGGACGCGCCUCGAAACGCUCGGCGGCGUGGCACCGGCUUUAAGCGUAGCAGAAUCUUUCGCUUUGGAAGUCGGGGCCCCGUCUGCCGGAAGACCUGCUCGCAAGGUUGACCUCGGAUCAGGCAGGGAUACCCGCUGAACUUAAGCAUAUCAAUAAGCGCAGGA
rnacentral:misc_RNA from 1 species